rnacentral:rRNA from 1 species
AGUGGUGGGGUGACUGCGUACCUUUUGUAUAAUGGGUCAGCGACUUAUAUUCUGUAGCAAGGUUAACCGAAUAGGGGAGCCGGAGGGAAACCGAGUCUUAAUUGGGCGUUAAGUUGCAGGGUAUAGACCCGAAACCCGGUGAUCUAGCCAUGGGCAGGUUGAAGGUUGGGUAACACUAACUGGAGGACCGAACCGACUAAUGUUGAAAAAUUAGCGGAUGACCUGUGGCUGGGGGUGAAAGGCCAAUCAAACCGGGAGAUAGCUGGUUCUCCCCGAAAGCUAUUUAGGUAGCGCCUCGUGAAUUCAUCUCCGGGGGUAGAGCACUGUUUCGGCUAGGGGGCCAUCCCGGCUUACCAACCCGAUGCAAACUGCGAAUACCGGAGAAUGUUAUCACGGGAGACACACGGCGGGUGCUAACGUCCGUCGUGAAGAGGGAAACAACCCAGACCGCCAGCUAAGGUCCCAAAGUCAUGGUUAAGUGGGAAACGAUGUGGGAAGGCCCAGACAGCCAGGAUGUUGGCUUAGAAGCAGCCAUCAUUUAAAGAAAGCGUAAUAGCUCACUGGUCGAGUCGGCCUGCGCGGAAGAUGUAACGGGGCUAAACCAUGCACCGAAGCUGCGGCAGCGACGCUGAUGCGUUGUUGGGUAGGGGAGCGUUCUGUAAGCCUGCGAAGGUGUGUCGUGAGGCAUGCUGGAGGUAUCAGAAGUGCGAAUGCUGACAUAAGUAACGAUAAAGCGGGUGAAAAGCCCGCUCGCCGGAAGACCAAGGGUUCCUGUCCAACGUUAAUCGGGGCAGGGUGAGUCGACCCCUAAGGCGAGGCCGAAAGGCGUAGUCGAUGGGAAACGGGUUAAUAUUCCCGUACUUGGUGUUACUGCGAAGGGGGGACGGAGAAGGCUAUGUUGGCCGGGCGACGGUUGUCCCGGUUUAAGCGUGUAGGUGUGUGUUCCAGGUAAAUCCGGUUCACUUUAACACUGAGGCGUGAUGACGAGGCACUACGGUGCUGAAGCAACAAAUGCCCUGCUUCCAGGAAAAGCCUCUAAGCAUCAGGUAACAUCAAAUCGUACCCCAAACCGACACAGGUGGUCAGGUAGAGAAUACCAAGGCGCUUGAGAGAACUCGGGUGAAGGAACUAGGCAAAAUGGUGCCGUAACUUCGGGAGAAGGCACGCUGACAC